rnacentral:lncRNA from 1 species
CGGAGAGCCCUACCGCCGUUGACUUUCUGUUUUCUGCAUUUUUUCGGCCCACAGAGGGCGCUAAGGUUGUUUUCUCGCAGGAACCGGUGCAAGUUCAUAUGAAUUCGGUCGAAAAAGGUCGAAAACAGCUAACCCGAGACGAAUUGCCGCCGCGGGCGGCGGAGCCGCCGUGCCGAAAUUCUGAAAUUGGUCGAGUAGGCCUUGGGUCUGAUUUUUGGAUUAAUUGGGACACUUGUAGGUACUGUAAGCGCGUUUUAGUUUCCGAAGGAAAAUUCAGGAAACCCAAGGACCGCUCGUAGGCGCUGUAACCAUUUAGUUUUCGGCGUCGAAUCAAGUAAGAACCCCUCAUCCUAUUUCCUAUCAUGGAAUUGAAGUUUGAAUAAAUGAUAAUACUGUAUUUUGUACAAAUUAAAUAGAUAUGCAUAAUU